AUUGAACGCUGGCGGCAUGCCUUACACAUGCAAGUCGAACGGCAGCGGGGACUUCGGUCCGCCGGCGAGUGGCGAACGGGUGAGUAAUGUAUCGGAACGUACCAUUGAGUGGGGGAUAACGUAGCGAAAGUUACGCUAAUACCGCAUAUUCUCUCCGGAGGAAAGCAGGGGACCGCAAGGCCUUGCGCUCUUUGAGCGGCCGAUAUCAGAUUAGCUAGUUGGUGGGGUAAAAGCUCACCAAGGCGACGAUCUGUAGCGGGUCUGAGAGGAUGAUCCGCCACACUGGAACUGAGACACGGUCCAGACUCCUACGGGAGGCAGCAGUGGGGAAUUUUGGACAAUGGGGGCAACCCUGAUCCAGCCAUGCCGCGUGAGUGAAGAAGGCCUUCGGGUUGUAAAGCUCUUUCGGCCGGGAAAAAAUCGCAUGGGUUAAUACCCUGUGUGGAUGAUGGUACCGGAAUAAGAAGCACCGGCUAACUACGUGCCAGCAGCCGCGGUAA
rnacentral:rRNA from 1 species